rnacentral:rRNA from 1 species
AGAGAGAGACAUGCGCGCAUAUCAAUAAGCGGAGGAAAAGAAACUAACUAGGAUUCCCUUAGUAACGGCGAGUGAAGCGGGAAGAGCUCAAAUUUGAAAUCUUCAAGGUUUUACCUUGACGAAUUGUAGUUUAAAGAAGUGUUUUCUGUUGGAGUUUUGGUAAAAGUUCUUUGGAAUAGGACAUCAUAGAGGGUGAGAAUCCCGUAUUUGACCAUUAUUUCCAGCUUUGUGAUACACUUUCAAAGAGUCGGAUUGUUUGGGAAUGCAGUCCAAAAUGGGUGGUAAAUUUCAUCUAAAGCUAAAUAUUGGCGAGAGACCGAUAGCGAACAAGUACCGUGAGGGAAAGAUGAAAAGAACUUUGAAAAGAGAGUUAAACAGUACGUGAAAUUGUCAAAAGGGAAGCGUUUGACACCAGUGUUGUUUUCUCGAAAAUCAAUCAAAUGAUGGCUUGAUGCUAGGUUGUUAUGACUUUAUCAGCAUACUGUCUAGUUUUCUUGUCUUUGUUAAUGCACUUUUCGUUUAACAAGUCAACAUCAAUUUCUUUUGCUGUAAAAGGGUAAUAGGAAGGUGGCUUCAUCUUCGGUAGAAAGUGUUUAUAGCCUUUGACCUCUGCAAUCGGAGAGAUUGAGGUCUGCAGCGUAGACUCUUCGGGGUUAGAUACAUUUGUGCUAAGUUAUAGCUUUUCAUAGACAACUUGUUGACUAUGAUUAGUCAUUGUAGCUUACUCGCUUAUGCUAUUUUACCUACGCUUAGGAUGUUGACAGCAGUAUAGACUGU